rnacentral:rRNA from 1 species
AGUGAACGCUGGCGGCAGGCCUAACACAUGCAAGUCGAGCGGCAGCGCAGCAGUAGCAAUACUGUGGGCGGCGAGCGGCGGACGGGUGAGGAAUACAUCGGAAUCUACCCAGUCGUGGGGGAUGACGUAGGGAAACUUACGCUAAUACCGCAUACGACCUGAGGGUGAAAGCAGGGGACCGCAUGGCCUUGCGCGAUUGGAUGAGCCGAUGUCGGAUUAGCUAGUUGGUGAGGUAAAGGCUCACCAAGGCGACGAUCCGUAGCUGGUCUGAGAGGAUGAUCAGCCACACUGGAACUGAGACACGGUCCAGACUCCUACGGGAGGCAGCAGUGGGGAAUAUUGGACAAUGGGCGCAAGCCUGAUCCAGCCAUGCCGCGUGUGUGAAGAAGGCCUUCGGGUUGUAAAGCACUUUUGUUGGGGAAGAAAACCUGUUGGUUAAUACCCGGCGGGAGUGACGGUACCCAAAGAAUAAGCACCGGCUAACUUCGUGCCAGCCGCCGCCGUAA